rnacentral:lncRNA from 1 species
GUUUGUUGUAUAAUUAUAUAUACUAUGAACAGAAAGUGAUCAGACAAAAGCUUGCAUUUAAAUUACAAGCCAUUACAUUUUGGCCUAAGAUCAAAUGUUUGGAAGGCCCAACGCCACCUACUAUACUGGAGAAUAAAAAUCAGAAGAUCUAAAUAGAAACGACAUUCUAUAUAAUGUUAACUCGAUGACGGCAUUGAAUUCUAUCAUAACCUUCAUCGGGAGCGCCAAGACCAAAUGGAUUUAAAGCAAAUCUUAUAAAACUAAAACAGCAUAAAACAAAAAUGGUGUAAGCAGAAAAAACAAGGGUAAACUUUUCAUUGGUUUGCAAACGUAGAUGAAAAAUAUAAUUCUUGAAGAGGAAUCUAACAAAAGAAAGAAAAAAUAGAAAUUUAUGUCAUUUCGGAAGCAGCGGCGACUACAAGCGGAUAAUUAUGACCUUUCGGAUUGAUAGUCCACACCAACUUUUAAACCGAUGAAAUUCAAAUCUGUGAAUUUUGUGAUUAGAAAUAUUUUAUAGUGCCACAUAUUCUGGUUUUUUUUUUUAUUAUUUCAGAGAAAACAGAGUGAAGAGAUGUGUUUUGAAAACACUAGACGAUGAUAGUUAAUUUUUAUUUUUAUUUUUUUAAGCAAGUCACACCAAUUAUGUUUGAAGACAUAUUAAAUAGUAUUGUAUAGUGUAUAUUGUAUUGCAUAUUUACGCCUGUCCUAGUCAGGAGCCUCUGGCCUUUGUUAGUCUUGUAUGUUUUUUUUUAAAUUUAGUUCAUUUAUUUGUUUUGGAGUUUAGUGUGACGUCCAUUUUCACUGAACUUGUACACAAUUUUAUUUAGGCAUAUUGACAUAUUCCCCCAUUUCCGUUCUCAAUUUUAAGUAUUAGAUACAGAACAAAAAAACAGGACGGUAUAGUUUUUUCUGCAUGUCGAGGUCAGGUCAAUUCCGAGACGAUAGCAGAAAAACUUUACGGUUGGUUGUUACCAUCCCGUUUAUAUUGUUACUUUUGUUUGGUAUCUGACUUGUACGACGUUUCCAACUAGAAAGUAAUACAAUUUGCAUUUAAGACGAUUGCAUAAUUAAAAAGAUUGAACACAAAAAAAUUGCAUACCGGUUUAUGCAUUAUAACUAUUUUGAUAUGAGCGUCACUGAUGAGUCUUAUGUAGACGAAACGCACGUCUGGCGUACUAAAUUAUAAUCCUUGUACUGGACUGGACAUGCAAUCCUUACUACAUAUAUUUAAAAUAUAUGUUAUUCCUGUACUUCUGUACGGCCUGGAAUUAGUAACUCCUACAGAAAAAACAUGGAUAUUAUUGACAUAUUCCACAAAAAAUGCAUUAAGCAAUUACUUUCUUUACAAACAAGUCACUACGCCCGCCAUAUACAUUCUUUCUGGACAACUACCAAUAGAGGGCCAAAUACAUAAACAGAUCUUAUCAUUAUUUGGGAAAGACACAUGUAUUAGUAAACCUAACUGCUAGUAGUUCCAUGCAAGAAGCGGAGAGAAUACCCGUAAAAUUAAGAAUAGCAACAGGAAGUUAUAUACUCAUGGCUGACAG